rnacentral:lncRNA from 1 species
UUGCUACCACUUCACUAUUUCUUUAUGUUUUGUUCUCUGUGUACUUGAUAUGUAUAGAAUCUGCUGUCAGGUGAUCUCAUUAGCGGGAACAUUGUCAGUAAAUAACAGUUGCAGUAGGUAUUUUAGUUUCUUAUUUAUUUCAAUCAAAAUCUCCUAUCACUGACUACAUUGGAAAUACCAAGAAACACUGCCCUGCAUCUAUUUUCAACUAAAUUUGGAUCUUCUGGUACGACUAAGACUUAACAGAGGAUUUGGGGUAGUGUAAUUUAUGUAGAAGUUUUUUGGCCAACAUAAGAUAUGUAUUUUGUUUAAGCUAGUUAUCUUGGGCAUAAUGACCUUUAUGCUUUCUAAUAGAAAACUUAUGAUAGGUAUCAUACCUUAAUGCUCCAUUUGGAGUGACAUUAUCAAUGCUUGAACAAGCAAAUAGAUUCUAAGCUCUCACAGCGAUCAUUCUCACGUUAGUGUUAAAUAUCCACUUAUUGGGGCAGAGUGUAAUUAUUUAGACAUGGAAUACUGUUGAUCUUUAGACAAGAGGGGUUGCUCUGAUGGUAAGCACAACCCCCACUUCCAACCGAGAGGUUGUGAGUUCGAGUCUCCCAAGGUGGGAAGUUCUUGGAGGGAAAGAUGCCGGGGGUCUAUUUGGAAACAACCUCUCUACCCAAGGGUAGGGGUAAGGUCUGCGUACACACUACCCUCCCCAGACCUUACUUAGUAGAUUAUACUGGGUUGUUGUUGUUGUUGGAAUGAUGUUGAUCUUUGGUGAAUAUUAACUUUUUUUUUAGUAAGCUUAUUGGUGAACAUACCCACCUGGUGGGAGUAUACUGGGUAGUUGUUGUUGUUGUUGUUAUUGGUGAACAUCAAUUACGUUAUUUGAAAUUGUGGUGCCAAAUUUGUGAGUAGGCAACAAUAUGUUCACUUGGGGUUUGUUUCGAGGUGGAUGACAAUAAUUUGAAAUUUUGAACUGAUUGAUUGGGAAGUUGGUUUGCAGCACAGGUGUGCAGAUGAGGAGACUAAAUGUCAUGUACAUUACUGUAAUCUUGGAUGUUUCUGGUUGUAGGAAAAUGCUGAGGAUAUGCGAAGUGAUACUGAUACCGGAGAUGAACUGCCUGGAAGUAGCAAGGAUGAAGGAGCUUCUGAGAAAAAGCCAAAUCUUAAAUCAGGCAGCAAAGAAGAGACAACAAAAGAAAAGAAAAUUACUAGAACUACUCCGGGGGAGGUUAACAAAGAACUGUUGCAAGUAAGUUACUGGUUACUUUCUCGUAAUUUCUUUUCUGUUUUAUGUUCUCUGUAUGAUGUCUUCUUGCAUCUUCUUGCUCUGGAACAGGCUUUCAGGUUUUUUGACCGUAACCGGGCAGGAUAUGUUAGGGUAAGCCAACUAGCUUGUCCUUGCCCCCCCCCCCCCUCCCCCUUCUCUCUCUCUUGUUGCAUAGGAAACUCAGUCAAGUAUGCGUUUCUCAGGUUGAAGAUUUGAGAUUAAUCAUCCACAACUUGGGGAAAUUCCUUUCUCACAGGGAUGUCAAGGUUGGUUUAUUUUGUAUAUUCAUAGUACCUUUCCUGGUUACUGUGCACGUUUUGCUGACAAUAACACAUGUUGCCCAGGAACUCGUGCAAAGUGCACUUUUGGAGAGUAACACUGGGAGAGAUGAUCGGAUUCUCUACCCCAAGUUGAUCAACAUGGAGUUGUGAAGUUUAUUCCAGGAUUAGCUAGUGGAUUAUUAUCCUUCAUUUAUGAAAUUUAGUGCUGCCUUUUAAAUGAAUUCUUUAAUGGUGAACAAACUCUGCCUUAAUAUAGACUUGCAUUAAGCACACUGGAUGGUGAGUUAAUUUAUAAAAUAUUUAAAACUUGUGGGAGUAUUUUCUUAGGGGCCUAUGGUCCUCAAUUAGUGUGACAAUUUGACUCUUCGAUAUGACUACGUAUAGCGUAAACCAGACAGCGUGCUAUGUUGGUCUCAAGGGUAAAGUAUUUACAGGUCGCUGGUUCUUAAUAAAAGGGUGCCCGGUUUCUAUCAUAGAGCCUAACCACAGGAACAGAGUGUAUUGAGUAUGACUUCAAAGUUAUUGCUUCUCAAUCAAGAAGCAAAUGUCCUCAAAGUCGUAGAGAGUUAAAAUUGGUGAGACUAUGCUUGUUUGGCCCUAAUCCUUACUAGGUUGGGAUAGAUUGAUUAUACUUUUGGUUGAUGGUAGGGGUGGUAAAGCGGAUCGGGUUGGAUAUGGGUGGGUGAAAACAAUAAUGCAAAAUGGAUAAAUUAUUUAAUUCGAGCUAUAUUUAAUACAGAUAAAAAAUAGAUUUUAUAGUAGCCGGUGGAUUCAAGGUUUCUUGAAUAUGAUAGAAUUUUUAAUCUCUUAAAUUUUUGGAACACUCAAUUUAGGUCUUUGCAAGUGUAGAAGUUAAUUGCAUUGAUUAUCUAUUGAUUGUGGGUGAUUUGACCCAUUUUAAAAAAUAAAUUAUUCUAACUUAUUUUGUAGUGGACAAUAUGGAUAACUGUUUUUUUAAAUUCAUUUUAUCAUUACUAGUUGAUGGGAUAGGUGAUGAUAGUGGCCGGUGGUGGCAAGAUGGUUAAAAGAAAAUAGCUAUACAGCCAUAUUAUCCAUUAAUAAUGGGUUGGAUAAUUAAUUUUUUAAAAACGGAUCGAAUAUGGAUAAAUAGUUAUAUUAUUUACUUAAAAAAUGGUUAACCAAAUGGAUAACUAAUGUGUUUAACUAUAAUAUUUAUAAAACUUCAAAUUGGGAUUCCUCAAGUUUGGAAGAUUAGUAAUUCUCCCAUAAGUGACUAUAUUCAAGAAGACAUGGAUAUUGGAUUAUAUGAAUAUCCAUAUUAUCCAUCCGAUAAUUCAUUUUUUAUCCAUAUAAAUACGGGUCGAGUCAGAUAAUUUAUCCGCUUUUUGAAUUACCCAUUUUCUACCCGUUCAUAUCUGAUCCGAUCUCGCCCGUUUACUAUGCCUAGUAGUGGCAGAACUACUGCUGAUAGUAGUAGUAUUAAUUUUGAAGUCAUAUACACCACGCUUUGAUGGUAUCGUGCCUCUGUCUUCAAGCAAUCGGCGAAAGAUAAGAACUUGGAGUUUGAUUAUGAUGAAAAUUAGGUAGUCUGUGGCUGUCAACAGUUCAUCCAGAGGGUGGAAAAAGGAAGAAGCAGAAGGGGAAUCUAGGCUUGAGGUAAGGGUGUUGAUGGAUUUUUAAAAAUCAACCGAACUGUACCCAAAUGAUGAUUACCUUUUUUUAAUAAAAUCGUAGUUUUUAUAUUAGACUUAUAAUUGUACCGAAUGACAGGUUAGGUUUUUAAUUUUAUAAAAAUAGAUCCAAAAAAUAUUGAAUCGUACCCAAUAAAUUUAUUUAAAAAAUAUAUUUUAUACUAAGGUUAAAAUUAACAAAACAUUAAGUUUUUUUCUUGGUCUGGAUUAUGAAAUGGCUAUAAGUGACCAAAUAAUAAAUAUCCAAAGCUUUUAACUUCCAAACAUAUUCUACUGCUCAUUCCAAUGGUCAGUGGCAAGCCACAAGGUAUUAGAUAUCUUUCCUCUCAUAUGAUUUAUAUCUCUUUUUAUUGGAUAUUAUUCUUUUAAUAAACUUUAUUUUUGAGUCUCAACUGGAUUAGUCUCUUUCCACUCGUAUGAUAUAUAUUUCUAGUCAUUGCUUAAUUUGUUUUACGCUACCAUAGAAUAGUGAGAUGAAUCUAUAUUCUGGAUAUCUUUCAUGUUCUUUGAUCAUCAAUUUUAAAUUAGUAAAAAUAUCUAGAGAGUUUUGCCAAAAUCCUAUGCAAGUACACAUUUAUCGCAUUCUAACUUUGACUAGGGCUCUUGCAUGACAUUUUAAAAAAUUACUGAAAAAUUAGCCGAACCAUACCGAUACCGUAGAGAAAUCGAGAUGACUGGGGCGAUUUUGAAAAGUUUAAUUUUGAUUAUACAAAAUAAAAUAACCGAUACAAAUUUUAUAACCGGUCGAACCGAACUAUUCAUACCCAGGUCCAGUUGUCUCUAGAGGCUACAAAAAAAAUAAAAAAAUAAAAACUUAUGGUCAUUAGCUAUUCUCUGUCGACAAAUUCGUAGGAUGUUUUAUCUAUCUCCCUAUGAAUCGAGUUAGAAAACAACCAUGCUUCAAGUCCAGACUGGUUAGGAGCAACUAUAUAUAUCACUUAUAUACAGAGUUGCUAAUAAGUUUGUCACGUCACAGGGAAAAUUUCCUUGUCGUUGGUAAAAAAACCUUCCCUUACUUUUAACUUUAGGGAGAAUGAUACUGUAUACAUGCUCUCAAAACAAUAGCCGAACUUUCCAAAUUUUUUUGGUAUAUACAUACAUUUUGUUAUGUUAUAUACAAAAUUAUGUAAAAACUUUAUACUCUUUCGACUAACGAAUGUAAAUAGUUUCUGGCGCGGGCUAAAAGUGAAAAAGCCCUUAACUUUACAGUCAGUACUAGCAGCUGAUGGGGCGAUCAGUUAGUAAUAAAUUACAGAUAUUAGCACCAACAAAGAGAGGUUGUGAGUUCGAGUCUCCCCAAGAGCAAGGUGGAAAGUUCUUGGAAGGAUGGAUGCCGGGGGUCUAUUUGGAAACAACCUCUCUACCCAAGGGUAGGGGUAAGGUCUGCGUACACACUACCCUCCCCAGACCCCACUAAGUGGGAUUAUACUGGGUUGUUGUUGUUGUUAUAUUAGCACCAACAAAAAUCAGCGGCCGCCACGCCAAUGGUGGUCACCAGAAAGAAAUAAUAAUAUUUAGUAUGGAGUUGAGCAAUCGUUAAGGGAAAGGAAUUUAGAAUGUUAAACUGCCGCAAAUGAUCAACCAACUGGAGAAUUACAAACAAAAGUUAAAACGACAUUAAAAUAACAAGAAAGUUAACAAAUACAAGCAAUAACAGUCAAUACAAAUGAGUCAUUCUGGAUAAGCAGCAUAAAUUCUUGCACUGAGGGAACUUUAGCCACUUAAGGGCUAGGCAGAGGUGGCAAUGGCACUGGCAGCUCUGGGAGUGGCAGCUUUGGUAUAGGUACUGGCAAAUCCGGCUUUGGCAAAGUUGGUAGCUGAGGCAUUGGAAGCUGUGGCAGUGGCAGCUUUGGCAUAGGUAAUGUAGGCAAUGUAGGCAAUCCAGGCUGUGGCAAUGCUGGUAGCUCGGGUUUCGGGAGGCCAAUGGGGAGAUCAGGCAAAGGUGCAUCCAGAAGACGGCGAGCCUCUGCUUGAACUGCAAGGCUGCUGAUUGAUGCUAAGGCGACGAGGAAGAGAAGGUAAAGGGAGUGAUGAGCCAUUUUUGAUUUAGUACAGUUUCAAGUGAUGUUUUGUGUUUUGGUGAAUGAAGACUGAGAGUUGAUGAGAGUUUAUAUAGACAGCAGUGUUUGAAGAAUGGUAACUAUAAAUGAUUUGUGUGGUGAGGAAAAGAAUUGUGGUUGUUAACCUUCUACACCACAAGUACUUAUUUUACUAUGAAAUAGUAUUAUCUUCAAGAAAAAUUUAUGGUCUUUGUUUUCAUCUAUGUACAGCUCAUGACCUCUAUACUUUUACGUCCCAA